rnacentral:rRNA from 1 species
AACGAACGCUGGAGGCAUGCCUGACACAUGCAAGUCGAACGAGAUCUUCGGGUCUAGUGGCGCACGGGUGCGUAACGCGUGGGAAUCUGCCCUUUGGUUCGGAAUAACAGUUGGAAACGACUGCUAAUACCGGAUGAUGACGAAAGUCCAAAGAUUUAUCGCCAGAGGAUGAGCCCGCGUAGGAUUAGCUAGUUGGUGUGGUAAAGGCGCACCAAGGCGACGAUCCUUAGCUGGUCUGAGAGGAUGAUCAGCCACACUGGGACUGAGACACGGCCCAGACUCCUACGGGAGGCAGCAGUGGGGAAUAUUGGACAAUGGGCGAAAGCCUGAUCCAGCAAUGCCGCGUGAGUGAUGAAGGCCUUAGGGUUGUAAAGCUCUUUUACCCGGGAUGAUAAUGACAGUACCGGGAGAAUAAGCUCCGGCUAACUCCGUGCCAGCAGCCGCAGUAA